rnacentral:lncRNA from 1 species
UUGUCUCUCCAAUUAUAUGGUCAGCUGCGUUAACUAUGAUUUUGUCCAUUUAUAUAGUUGCAUGGACUUAUUUAGUUCGUUGACUUAAGUUGUAGCUACUUAUUGUCAAACCCUUACUGGAAUUCAAUCAAACUGAAUCCAUAUGAUGUAAUCUUGUUUUGUUGUACUGAUGUCUGCUAUAGUUUGUCAUGCCUGAUAUUUUUCAUCUCUUUCUUUUCAAUGAGUGAUGAACUCAUAAAGAGGAAAAAUGAACCUAAUUUAUGGUCGGUUAAAAUCAAGAGGAAAAAUGAACCUAAUUUAUGCUUGGUUAAAAUCACAAUUGGUAUAGAAUUCUUCACAAUCGCUAUAAAAUUAUUCACUCUCAACUUUGAUUCCCUUUUUAGAUAGUUCUCUGUUACAUUAGUUGAUUAUAUUUAGCAGCCUGCUAAACAAUUUCCCUGAAAAAACAAAAUCCAGCUUCCGAUGGAUAACCACCAUUAAGGCAACUAUAUAGUCAUAUUCAUUGAGGCUCCUUCAAUAGUCAGGAAUCCCAUGAGAAUAUAGAGUGGUUUGAAGUAUAUAUAACUUGGCUGAAGUUCACAUUGAAUUUGCUGUCCCCAGUGGAUUGGAAGACAUUAUCUCUUGCUCUCCAUCAAAGUUUGUAACAAAGAAGCUUGAACCCAGUAGUAAUGGGUUGACAUUUGAACAUAUUUUAAAGAAUGAAGCUUUAGAGACUCUAUGGGGUUGGUUGCUCCAUUAGCCCCUCUCUACUUGAAACUUUUGAACACUUCCUGCCAUCCUUAGAGCAUUGAGAGCAGUUUGGUAGAUACUAAUCAUCACACUUGUUAAUCCCAUAUGAACACCAUGACCUACACUAAACCUAACACCAUUCCGAACUUCCCACACCUAUGCUUUAAGUCUUGCCUACGCUUGGGAUUCGUGAUGAGCAUAUUUACAAGGAUUCCUUCCUCUAUAGACUCACCUUCUGAACAGAUUUUCUCUACAGCCAUUUGGAUAUGAGAGUGACAUUUAACCAGGUUUGGGAUCCUGAAUUCCCGGACCUCACGGUGACCUCUUUACAGUUGACAAGAUGAAAUUGCUUUUCUUGAUCUCGACUUGUAGAGUGUCUCUUGCAAAGUGACCAAAGCACCUGGUAUCGUNNNNNNNNNNNNNNNNNNNNGGCCAAAACAUUAAACAUACAAUUUAAGUGGGGCAUGGAUGGCUGGAGGGGGAAUCAUGUCAUUUUUUUUUUUUGAGGAAAACAAACUUGUAUUGAAGAAGAAAGAACAGAAACCUAAGGCUUGAUCCCUAGCUGGGGAGAAAACCUUAGUGUUUCCGCAAAAUUGCAUGUGUUUGGCUGAGAUUUUUUGCUGAUUUUACUGUUUCUCAAGUUCUCUACAUCAAUAUGUUUGCGAAAAUCCCUACCAAGUCACCAACUACGUUCCGUACUACAUAUUUGGUGAAUAUUUUCAUGUCCAAAAGAGAAAGAUUAUAUUUAGGGAAUAUGUUGAAGUAAAUAGCCCAUGUUUCAUAACAUUUCAUGCCCAUUGAAAUCUAUAUUCCACUGCUACAAUGUGACCAAGUACUUAUUAAAAUUAUAUCCUUCAUUAGAUAUAGAAAUUAUGUCGCAAUGCAUAUUGGUACAAUUGCCAUGUGAUUCAUUGAUGAGCAUACUCAUCUUCAUGCAUCACCGUUUCUUUCCCUGUUGCUCCAUCUUGUAACUUGAAAAUAAGUUUAAAAAACUGUUUGUUGUGGUUUUAUAAAUUAGGAAAAAGUUUAGAUAAGGUUGCAUCCUUAUUUGUACAAAUAAGAUUGCAGUAAUUUACACCAUCCAUUUUAUUUGGCCAAUGUAGAUUUGACACUCUCUUAAAAUACGUGCCAUGUUUUGACACGAUCUUAAAAGAUGUGUCAAAUCUACACUGUCUAAAUAAAAUGAAUAGUAUAGAGUAUCGCAACCUUGUUUGUACAAAUAAGGUUGCAACCUUAUAAAAACCGCACCCUAUAUAUUGUAUAAUAGAGGGAAAAGUAUUUGGCCACUGCUGAGAAAGUGUGGUGUCCCUCAUUUCUAUAUGAUUUUUGGUGUUUUGAGAACCCAAACUCUACAGAUCCAUUCACUUGCACACUUAAAUUAUGAAUCUGAAGAGAAAAUGAUUUGGAGCCCUAAAAGUAGUCCUUCUUGAAUUACUGUUCAUUUCAAUAGACUGUGGAUCAGUCAGAUUUGCAUCAUUUUUAAUAGCUCCAAGUCCUUUUAAGUAAAUGUUAACAAAAAAUCUAUUUUAAUGGUCCCAAAUCCAUUUUUCUUGUGCAGAAAUGGAUUUUCAGGGGUUCGGAAUGGUUUUUGUAUCUCACUGUUCUUGUUAAAAUUGAUGCUACUGUAAAUGUUUGACAGUUGUGGGCCUGUGGCAGGUCUUAAAUUUCAUGUGGUUGAAAUUCCUUCUCAUUUGGCGUUAUUUCCGCUUUUGGGCGCUGGUAUGAUCUUGUCUCUCCAAUUAUAUGGUCAGCGGCGUUAACUAUGAUUUUGUCCAUUUAUAUAGUUGCAUGGACUUAUUUAGUUCGUUGACUUAAUUUGUAGCUACUUAUUGUCAAACCCUUACUGGAAUUCAAUCAAACUGAAUCCAUAUGAUGUAAUCUUGUUUUGUUGUACUGAUGUCUGCUAUAGUUUGUCAUGCCUGAUAUUUUUCAUCUCUUUCUUUUCAAUGAGUGAUGAACUCAUAAAGAGGAAAAAUGAACCUAAUUUAUGGUCGGUUAAAAUCAAGAGGAAAAAUGAACCUAAUUUAUGCUUGGUUAAAAUCACAAUUGGUAUAGAAUUCUUCACAAUCGCUAUAAAAUUAUUCACUCUCAACUUUGAUUCCCUUUUUAGAUAGUUUUCUGUUAUAUUAGUUGAUUGAAUUUAGCAGCCUGCUAAACAAUUUCCCUGAAAAAACAAAAUCCAGCUUCCGAUGGAUAACCACCAUUAAGGCAACUAUAUAGUCAUAUUCAUUGAGGCUCCUUCAAUAGUCAGGAAUCCCAUGAGAAUAUAGAGUGGUUUUAAGUAUAUAUAACUUGGCUGAAGUUCACAUUGAAUUUGCUGUCCCCAGUGGAUUGGAAGACAUUAUCUCUUGCUCUCCAUCAAAGUUUGUAACAAAGAAGCUUGAACCCAGUAGUAAUGGGUUGACAUUUGAACAUAUUUUAAAGAAUGAAGCUUUAGAGACUCUAUGGGGUUGGUUGCUCCAUUAGCCCCUCUCUACAUGAAACUUUUGAACACUUCCUGCCAUCCUUAGAGCAUUGAGAGCAGUUUGGUAGAUACUAAUCAUCACACUUGUUAAUCCCAUAUGAACACCAUGACCUACACUAAACCUAACACCAUUCCGAACUUCCCAAACCUAUGCUUUAAGUCUUGCCUAUGCUUGGGAUUCGUGAUGAGCAUAUUUACAAGGAUUCCUUCCUCUAUAGACUCACCUUCUGAACAGAUUUUCUCUACAGCCAUUUGGAUAUGAGAGUGACAUUUAACCAGGUUUGGGAUCCUGAAUUCCCGGACCUCACGGUGACCUCUUUACAGUUGACAAGAUGAAAUUGCUUUUCUUGAUCUCGACUUGUAGAGUGUCUCUUGCAAAGUGACCAAAGCACCUGGUAUCUUAGAUUCAGUGCCUCUAUUGAACUGAUUUUAUCGUUUUUCUUCUUUGGUAUUUGCAGAUUAUUAAUGAAGGAAACAUUGUGCUCUCUUGCUUGGUCUAGCAGUGUCUAUAAUUUGAAAAUGGACAUUGUUUUCUUUAUGCAUUAUUUGAAUGCAGAU